GUUUCUGUUUUUAAGAUGUCUGAAUUACCAGCUUUGGAGGGUGGUCAUACUUCCGCAUGUGAUUUUGAACUGGAAUGCACUUGUUAUCCUCCAUCACAAAUUCAACCACCAGGUGGCCUUCAACGAGCAGAAUUCGGCCUUUCCUUGGGUGGCAGUUACAUCAUUGCUGUGGGCCACCUCCGGGGAAUAAGACAUUUGGAAGACAGUUAAUAAAACAAAAAAACACUACCACCGCCAAAACCCGCUACCUAUUUCUGUCCCAUUCAGGGAGAUCUUCUAAGUAAGACUACGAUAUGUAAGCGUACCAGCAUGAUUUUGUAGAAUGCUUAGAAAG
rnacentral:lncRNA from 1 species